GACUUGGCUAAAACAUUAUCAGAGUUUGCAACGGAAGGUGUAACUGAAAUAAUCAGUGUUUACAGCGGAAUGCAUAACUGAGAUACAUGUAUGAAGACAUGUAUCCUUUCUAGGCCUACUUUAAGUUCAACAAAAACUCCACUCAGCAACACUUCAUCGCCCAUCACAACUCAACCUGCACAAACAUAAACAUACGAAGGGCUGAGUACAAGAGUACUCAGUGGGCAGUGCCAAGCAUAUAACAUAAUAUCAACAACAAAACACAACUUCGCAUAAGAGGCAUAAGUUUCUUUCAAAUCCUUUGCUCAUUAAACAUUUCCAUAUUCAUAAACAGCAUGAGCGCAUUCUUCAUCAUUAACAAUCAUCAACACGCAUCGUGUCAUGGAGAAGGCCUUCCCCAACGAACACGGGCAUCGCACCGUGAAGGGGGCCUCCCUCAGCGGUCACGGCAUCGUACUAUUGAGGGAGGCCUCCCCCAAUAGACGCUGUAACACUGGAAUACUGGCAUCGCGCCGCUAGGGAGGCCUCCCUCAGCGGACACGGGCAUCGCGCCGUGAGGAAGGCCCUCCUCAGCGGACACGGCAUCGUACUGUUGAGGGAGGCCUCCCCCAACAGACGCAAGCAUCAAUCACAGGCAUAAACUUAUCAGCGUAAAGCAUUCAAGCGUAAAUAAGCGUAAUCAAGCGUAAAUCAUUUAGCGUGAAGCAUAAUAAAGCAUACCAUACUUGAAGAUCCAAUUUGCAUUAUAAAGCAUAACACAUGCAUAGCAUUUUAUUUACGCGUAAGAAAUUGCCCACCUGAUAGCAAGGUUUUGCUAAGGUACUGUGAUUCCUUGAGUAGUUCUUACUCUCGCGCUUGACCUUAAUCACGAGAAUAUAAAAUAAGACAUUGCCUCGAGGAAAAUUCUUAAUUAAUGAGAAAGCGUAAUUGAACUAUGCAUGAAUCUGGUAUGCAUGAACUAAUUUCUGAGCGAUAAUCGGAAAUUCUACUAUUAAUCCUCGUUAAUAGAUUUAGCUAAUUCUCGUCUAGCGCGGUCGAAUAAAACUGUGAUUCUUCUUUCCUCAUCGGAAUAUUCUAGUCGUGAAAUAAACCUCGCAUUUGUACUUGAUUGAAAAAGGACUAACUCGGCUUUAAACGAGGUGUGACCUUGUAGAAAUUAUCGGGUUUUUCGAUAGAAACAUCAUUACUAGCGUAACCUCAAAUAAUUAAUAGGCUCAAAAGAGAGUAGCCAAUUAAUUAAAUAAACCAGUGGCUUUAAAGAAAUAAAGGAUAAUAGUUUGCUUUAAAGUCCGAAGUCCAAAAACAUUAAUUAAUAAACUGGGCGGCUCAUUACUGAUAAAUAAUUGGGCUCCAUUUAAAAUUGAUACCGCUAGGCUUAGCUCAAAGGAGUAACUUUAGCUCAAGCUUUAAAAGAAUUAAAGCCCAACUUAAAAAGUCUUCGACCCAAAACAAUUAAAAUAGGGGUCCAAAUAAUAAUUAAUGUGGACUGAAAAGAAUUAAUCUAGCUUACUUAUUCAAAUAAAAUUGGCCACAUGAAGAAAUAAAUAGGCCGGAUGAAUUUAUUUGGGACAUGGAAUAAAAAGUCUAUCACAACUUUACAUCAGCCCAAACUUAAAACAAUUCGAGCCCAAUCUUUUAAAAUCAAGCCCAAACUUUUUUAAAUAAUAUAGCCCAAAUGAAAUAAAUCAUCCAGCCCAUCUCCUUUAAAAAUUUAGAGCCCAACAGUAAAAUAAUAAGAAUGACCCAACUGUAAUAAAAUAAAUUAGGCCCUACUUAAAUUAAAAUCAGAUGCCCAUACAGUAAUUAAAAUCGGCCCAAUUAAAAAAAUAGAGGCCCAAUUCGAAUUAAAAUGGAAGCCCAAGUCACUAAAAUAUGAAAGCCCAAACUCUCUCUCUCUCUCAAAAUUCUCGGUUCUUCCCUUUUUCUCAAAUCUCACAACCGACACUCUCUCUCUCAAACUCAAAGCAGAACACGCUCUGCUCUUCUUCUCGAUUCAAAAACCAGUCGAUCGGCCCUUCCCAGCUCGCUCGACGUCUUCUUCUCCGGCCAUCCAGCCGCUUGCUCCGGUCGUCGUCAUCUGUCGACGCGUCAAAGCCCCGGCGCCGUCCUCUUUCCUCCCCGCAGAGCCCCGAAAUCGCGCCCUAGAUCUGAAUCGUCAUCGUUGCCGCCGAAAUUGGUCGGUUAGUCGCCGCCUGGGAGCGGCGUUGCUCCGUACUCUGACCAUUCCAGCCACCGGCGACUGCUGCUGUUUCGCCGGAGUCGCGGCCUGGAGUUGCUGCUGUUGCUACUCUUUCGCCCGGAAUCCGGCGAGCGGUCGCCGUCUGAGGUGGGCGAUAUUUUGGAGCGUUGUUUCUGUGUUCAAAACCCGGCGGAAUCCCGUGCCUGGUUUGCACCCAUCGUCGUUGACGUUCUGGGAGUCGGCGGCUUUACCGCGAUUCUGAUUCGGAGCGCCGGUUGGCUUCUCCUUCUUUGGCCGCUGUUUCUGUCAUUCCUAUGCAGGCAAGACUACGAGAGUUCGCUGCCCAUCUUCUUUCCCCGUUCGGCAGUAGGUGGUUCGCUGCCCCUUUUCCCGUCUCUCUCUCUUUUUUUAAAAACUGAACUCUAAUAAUCUCUCUCCUCUCCUCCCAAUUUUCGACAGAAAAAGAAAAAGGCAGCGGCUUGCCGCCGAGCCGUCUCCGGCCGUGAGCAGCCCCCGGCUGUUCUCACCCACUUCUAUUCCGGCGAGUAGCAGCGAAAGCCGCCGCCGAUCCUUGUGUUCACGGCUCAGCAGCCUCACAAUCUCAGCCCUCUCCUCGCCGAUCGACUGCAACGAAGGUCGCCACCUUCGACGGCCUCCUCCAACAACUCACACAUCCCGACUCACAACAACAGCGACAACAGCUUCAUCUCAACACUCACGCCCACACACAAUGCAUAGAUACUCCCUUUUCUUUUCUUUAACCAAUUUGUGAUAAUUCUAAAAUGUAGUAGAAAGAACAUUUUAUGGAACUCAUUUAUCAGAAAAAGAACAAGGUAUGCGUGCUGAUUUCUGUGACAUAAUAUGUGUGCGUAUCCUCUGUGAAUUGUGCAGUCCUAGUUAGUGUUGAUUAUGUACAUGAACAUGUCAUCGGUGAUGGUUUUCUUUAUAAAAUGAAUGACUGAUUUUGAGUGUAUGUGUGAGUUGGUUUACCUCUUAUGAAAAUAAGUUGAUUUCUCCAGGAGUGAGUUGCUGUAAAUUGAUGUUGGCUGCUGUGGUGUUUGAAUCAGUGGAUAGAAACUUGAGAGCUUCGGCUGAAACGAACUGGAAUUGAUCCUCUGAACUGUUGGAUGAAAAUGAAAUGAGAGUGAAUAUUGCAUUUGUUGGGUGGGGAGCAAGUGGUGGUGGAGUUGAUAAUUAAAGGUUUGGAGAUAUUGGAGAUAGUGGUGGUGGUUGGCUGAGGGAGGAAAGCAAAAGGUUGGAGUGGUGUUGGUGGAGUAAAUACGUGUACAUCAUUAACAAAAGAUGGAAAUAAAAAUUGUAUUUAAACUUUAAUUGAUUGAAGAGCUUUUGCUUUUGUAAUAUACUAAACGAUUUUCCCCAAGAUGGGAACUAGCCUGUAAUCUGUGAACUGUAAAUAAAUACUGGCUUCGAUUUUCAAUCAUCGCAUUUCUGUAUCUUGCUU
rnacentral:lncRNA from 1 species